GCGAACGCUAGCGGCGGGCCUAACACAUGCAAGUCGAGCGGAGAACUUCGGUUCUUAGCGGCGAACGGGUGAGUAACGCGUAGGUCACGUGUCCUCAGGUGGGGAACAACCGUGGGAAACCAUGGCUAAUACCGCAUACGGCCCUUCGGGGUCAAAGCCUUCGGGCGCCAGAGGAGCGGCCUGCGUCCCAUUAUUUAGUCCUAGUUGGUGAGGUAACGGCUCACCAAGGGUACGAUGGGUAGCUGGUCUGAGAGGAUGAUCAGCCACACUGGGACUGAGACACGGCCCAGACUCCUACGGGAGGCAGCAGUGGGGAAUAUUGCGCAAUGGGCGAAAGCCUGACGCAGCCACGCCGCGUGAGUGAUGAAGGCCUUCGGGUUGUAAAGCUCUGUCGGGAGGGACGAAGGGAGCAAUCUCUGACGGUACCUCGCAAGAAAGCACCGGCUAACUCUGU
rnacentral:rRNA from 1 species